ACGCACGCUGGCGGCGUGCUUAACACCUGCAAGUCGCACGGAAAGGCCUUUUCGGAGGUACUCGAGUGGCGAACGGGUGGGUAACACGUGGGUGAUCUGCCCUGCACUCUGGGAUAAGCCUGGGAAACUGGGUCUAAUACCGGAUAGGACCGCACUUUAGUGUGUGUGGUGGAAAGUUUUUUCGGUGUAGGAUGAGCCCGCGGCCUAUCAGCUUGUUGGUGGGGUAAUGGCCUACCAAGGCGGCGACGGGUAGCCGGACUGAGAGGUUGGUCGGCCACAUUGGGACUGAGAUACGGCCCAGACUCCUACGGGAGGCAGCAGUGGGGAAUAUUGCACAAUGGGCGCAAGCCUGAUGCAGCGACGCCGCGGGGGGGAUGACGGCCUUCGGGUUGUAAACUCCUUUCGCCAGGGACGAAGCGUUUUGUGACGGUACCUGGAGAAGAAGCACCGGCUAACUACGUG
rnacentral:rRNA from 1 species